CGACAGCUCAUAUUUAACUGUCUGUAGUUCCGUUUUGAUGGGUAUUAAACUUUCUUUCAAAGCCGACAGGAGCUGGGUCUUUAAAAUAACCGCCGUCUCGUUACAGAGUGAAAGCAGCAGUUCCUCCUUAAGGUCAGAGAUUGCAGCAUCUGAGGGCCUCUUCAAAAGAAGACGUAGUUGAUGAAGGCGUUCUGGAGCAGGACCAGAAAGACCACGACCAAGCAGCCUUGAGAUCUUAGGCAGCAUCUCCCUCAGAACUACAGACUCUUCACAACCUGCUCAAACUCUUGGUACAGGACCUCACCACACGGGUCAAGAAGGUCGCUGGUCGAAGCAGUUCGUAGAGUCGGGAUGCUUGGAGGAAAAUGAGGUUCGCCGGCUUUCACAUGGAGAUGCUGCUGUAGAUGCUGCUGUAGAGACCAAAGAACUACAGACUCUUCACAACCUGCUCAAACUCUUGGUACAGGACCUCACCACACGGGUCAAGAAGGUUCCUGUCUCAUUUCUACUCUGAAGCUCACCUUCUCCUGCUCAAACUGCUGACAGAUGUUUCUGCUGCUCUAAAGUCUGGUCUCCAGAACUUCCUAAAAACUCUCAAAGUCUCUUCUGCUGCAGGUUGCUUUGUAGAACUGUUGCAGAAAACCUCACUAAACCACAUGGAGGGGCCUCAAGAUAGUCAUCCAAAUGAAACCAUACAAAAACCAAACUAGCACAACCCAAACGCUAAAGUCUCCUGCAGCCUACCAGAGAACCUCUGAGAACAGAGAAUCAGGACAGGAACUCUUACCUUCUGGACAACCAACGCUGGUUCACAAACAAGAAUACAGAAUGUGUCUGACCAAAAACCUCUAAAGACUCACUACAGCCAAGAUAAAGACACAACUCAGCUGCACCAAAUCCACUAAUCACUGCACACAUUAGCAGCAUGUGCUAACUGUGGCUAAAGAACCACAUUUACCAAGACAGCUAUCCAGUACAAAGCCCUGAAACACACCAAGAAACACAUUAAAGAUGAUUUUACUGCUGGAAGCUGCAAGCCAACGCCUAAAGAACAAACUAAAGCAAUGGAGCCAAACCCAGUUCAGUGGUGAAGCAGAGGAAAUGUUUGAUGCAGCCAAAUAAAGCAGGAAGACACUGAGCUGCUCAGGUGUUCCUGAUAACACCAAGCAGCCACCUGGACAGCCAAUAGGAACACAGCUUACUGGAAGUCCAGAGGGUUGGGUUAGUGAAGGAAAUUUAGUUUAAAGUUGAAGCAGAAAGUUAACAAAGAAAGUUGAAAACCACCUUCUGAUCCCUGAAAUGUCUGAGUUUUCACACAAUGAAAGCCUGAACAUGUCAAAUUGGUUUCAUAGUAGAACCAUCAUUGUAAAAACCUCAUAGUAUGGUGUGUUGCUCAAAAAACAUUACGACCCGGCUGUCUAGGGUUGCCGAGGAGCAACACAAAAACAGGACAAACGCUGGUUUCCAGGGGGUUAGACGGCUAUUUAUUUGAAAGAGGAAGUUUACAACAACACAACAUGUGAGCAGAAAAAUCACAGUCUGUCUUUAGUUCAGCUGAAAAUAUUAGUUUUUGUCUUUUUUAUUUUCCAAACUUUUCAGGAAGUAGAUGAAGAAUAAUUAAAGCUCUCAUGUAGAAGUUCAACUUAUUUUGGAUCCUUGUUGAGAGUUUAAUCUUAGAGUUUGUAAAGCUGUUGAGUUUUUAGAGUCACAUGAAUUGUUUUGACAUUUAAUAACCGAGUCCUGAAAUAAAAUUACAGUUGUGGAUUUCUGUCAUUUAGUCUGGACUAAACAAAUAACAGCAGCAUAAAUCUCAAAUGUCAUUAUGAGGAGUCUAGAUUGAGGUUUCUCACUUGAUAAUGAUCAAAACAUGAAAUUUAGGUUGAUUUAAAGGAAUAUUCCACCUUAAAUCUUUGAAUGUUGACCUAAAAGGUUGGUUUCAGGAAGUAUUCCACCCACAAGGUCCUCAAACAUCCACCUUAAAGGAAUAUUCCACCAAAAAUCCUUGGACAUGCACCUAAAAUGUUGGUUUAACCGAGUAUUCCAUCCAAAAUCCUCAAAGAGACCUGAGGGGCUGGUUAAAGAAAAAAAUCCUUCAAUGUAGACCAAAAAAGUUAGUCUGGAGGAAUAUUCCACCUGAAAUGUAGACCUGAGAAGUUGGUUCGGAAGAAUAUACCAUCCUAAACAUCCUUAAAUGUAGACUAAAAGGCGGUUUGGAUGAAAAUUGCACCUAAAAUCCUCCAAUGUAGACCUAAAAGGUGAGUUUAAUGGUAUAUUCCACCUCAAAUUCACUACUGUAGACCUUGGAGGUUGGUCUGAUUGUAUAUUCCACCCAACAUCCUUGAACAUAUACAUAAAAAGUUCAUUCAAAGGAAUAUUCCACCUAAAAUCUUUCAAUGUAGACCAAAAAAUCUUGGUGUAAAGGAGUAUUCCACCUUGAAUGUAGACCUAAAGGAUGGUUUGGAGUGAUAUUCUACUCUAAAAUCUUCCAAUGUAGACCUAAAAGGUUGAUCUGAUGGUAUAUUCUACCCAACAUCCUUGGAACAUUUACCUAAAAGGUUGGUUUAAUGGUAUAUUCCCAGAAGAACCCUUGAACAUUGGGCUUAAUGGUAUAUUCCACCCAAAAUACUUGUACAUAUACCAAGAAGUCAGUGUAAAGGAAAUGUAGACCUAAAAGGAUUGUUUAAAGGAAUAUUUAAACGAUUAUUUUCAUUAUUUAAUAAUCUGUUAUCAGUCAGAACCCUGGCAAACUUAAUUUCAUCAGUUUUUUUAAUGGAAGUCACAAAUAAAGGAGCUCUUGGUUUUUCCUGGC